ensembl:snRNA U6 U6 spliceosomal RNA
GUGCUUGCUUCAGCAGUACAUAUACUAAAAUUGGAACAAUACAGAGAUUAGCACAGCCCCUGCGCAAGGAUGAAAUUCAAGUAGUCAGAGGCUAGAGAGAACAAU